UACGUAGGGGGCAAGCGUUGUCCGGAUUUAUUGGGCGUAAAGAGCGUGUAGGCGGCCAUGCAGGUCAGCUGUGAAAACUCGAGGCUCAACCUCGAGACGUCGGUUGAAACCGUAUGGCUAGAGUCCGGAAGAGGAGAGUGGAAUUCCCGGUGUAGCGGUGAAAUGCGCAGAUAUCGGGAAGAACACCCGUGGCGAAGGCGGCUCUCUGGGACGGUACUGACGCUGAGACGCGAAAGCGGUGGGGAGCGAACGAGG
rnacentral:rRNA from 1 species